rfam:Nippostrongylus brasiliensis genome assembly, scaffold: NBR_scaffold0000467
UCUGCAUUUAACCGAGAAAAUCUUUCGCCUUUUACUAAAGAUUUCCGUGCAGA